GGGGCUUAAAGUCUUGUAAUUGGAAUGAUGGGAAUUUAAACCUCUUCCAGAGUAUCAAUUGGAGGGCAAGUCUGGUGCCAGCAGCCGCGGUAAUUCCAGCUCCAAUAGCGUAUAUUAAAAUUGUUGCAGUUAAAAAGCUCGUAGUUGAAUUUCUGCUGUAUUGCAUUUUCUCUUUUUAUAUGAGUUUUUGCAUUAUGGCUUAUUUCAGUAUUAAUUUUUUAUUAUUACUGAAUGUUUACUUUGAGAAAAUUAGAGUGCUCAAAGCAGGCUUUUGCCUUGAAUAGUUUAGCAUGGAAUAAUAAAGUAGGACUUUGGUUCUAUUUUGUUGGUUUUAGGUACCAAAGUAAUGGUUAAUAGGAACAGUUGGGGGCAUUCGUAUUUAA
rnacentral:rRNA from 1 species